AAAAUAGACACAAAUUGGAUUAAAGACCUAAAUGUGAGACCUGAAACCAUAAAAAUCUUUGAGGACAGCACAGGCAGUAUUUUCUCUGACACUGGCAAUAGCAACAUUUUUCUAGAUAUGUCCUCUUGCCUCAAA